UACGUAGGGUGCAAGCGUUAUCCGGAAUUAUUGGGCGUAAAGAGCUCGUAGGCGGUCUGUCGCGUCUGCUGUGAAAUCCCGAGGCUCAACCUCGGGCUUGCAGUGGGUACGGGCAGGCUAGAGUGCGGUAGGGGAGAAUGGAACUCCUGGUGUAGCGGUGGAAUGCGCAGAUAUCAGGAAGAACACCGAUGGCGAAGGCAGUUCUCUGGGCUGACACUGAC
rnacentral:rRNA from 1 species